GCCCAGUCUCCAGUUCAAAGCAUAUGCUGCACGUCCAGGUUUUGCGCUUGCGCUCUGCAAAAUUCAAUAUGGCUGCCAUUAUGUGAAAGAAAUAUAACAAGUUAUAUUUAUUUCAUUGUAUGAUAUUCCUCCGUAUGUAAUGUAAAGGCGACAUGUGGAUGUCCUUUCUUUGUUGGUUAUUCCCUUAAGACACACAUGAAAACCAAGAAUUGUUGUUGUCAAAAUUAUAAUUAAUGUUUACCUGGUGAGAUGAAGACAAGAAAGAGCGACUCGCAGCUUUGGAAAUAUUCUGUCUAAUGUGAAAAGUUGUCCAUCUUCAUCAAAAUUAUCGGCGACAUGGUGGAUGUCCUUUCUUUGUUGGUUAUUCCCUUAAGACACACAUGACAACAAAGAAUUUCUGUUGUCAAAGCUAUAAUUAAUGUUUGGCUGAUGAGAUGAAGACAAGAAAGAGCGAUUGGCAGCUUUAGCAGAAAAACGUGUAAAGUAAGGUUACAAUUCGUUUGUUAAAGUUUGGUGAAGAAGCCAUUAUCAAUGAAGUUGAAAGCGAUGUGAUUUCCUUCAACAUUUUUACUAGCUGCUGGUUCAGUUCAUUGAAAGUUCCGUUUAUUCAAAACCAUUUGAAAUAUGCCACAAGGACAAUAUUCAUCAACAUACAUUCAAAUGCUUCAAGUUUUGUCAAUGCCACAAGCGAAGAACAUCGUUUACAAAGCUCAAAGCCACAUGUUUUCGAUGAAGCAGCCAUUGUCAAUGAACUUUUAACAUUCAAUUGGUAUAGAAGAAAGUGAUCCGUUUUUAAAGCGAGAUGUUGGUGUCCUUUCUUUGUUGAUUAUUCCCUUAAGACACCCAUGAAAAUCAAGAAUUGUGGUAAUUAUGUUUGUUUGUCUGAUGAGAUGAAGGCAAGCAAGGAAGAGCAACUCGCAGCUUUGGGAAAAAAACCUGUGACAAGCAGAUGAAAAUGCUUAAGUAUAUGUUCAAGGAUUAUCGACAGUGGGAGUAAUUAUUAAAAUAUUUUUUUCUCAUUCUUUUUUUUGCUUUACAUGAUCAUCCUAUUGUACAAGGCCUGCUCCUUUUCCCUUUAGCUAAGUGCGAAGAGAAAAGUUUUCUUACAGAGCGCCGGUUUGCGAGUUCUUCGUAGCAAACUGGCAUGAUGGUGAUACAAGUAAAAUUGAAGGGAAACGAUGAUAAUACUGCUGCUAAUGGUAAUUGUUCAAGGAAAACGAGCCCAGAAUGAUUUCAGUGAAUAUUGGUUGCGGUAAUAUUGCUUGUGCAAUUCCUAUUUUCAUUCAAAUAAAAUCAAAAUAGCAUGUAUACUUACGAUAAAAACGUUGGUCAUCUUGUACUUGAAUCUGUUCUUCUAUCAAGAUAUUCUUUUUUGGAUGAAAAAUUUAGCGACGACUUCCAACUUGUAAUGAAAAAACGAUAUGACAAUAGUGUGCAAAAUAAUAAUGUGAGCAAGCAAAUUGGUCUUACAACCAUUCUCUUGAGAUGUACCAAACAAUGUUACACGCCCACGUCGGCUGGUGCCAACAAUAACACUGAUAAAAUAUUCUUUUGUAUCACACCACCAACAUGGCUGAAUUGCAAGUCAAGAAUACAUCAAAAUAUAUAGUGAUAUCACAGAUAAUUUUCGUGCAUGUGAACAUUUAUAUCUGACUUUAUAUUUGUUUAUGUCUUCUUUUCUUCAUUUGUAAGUAGAAAUAAAACAAUAAAAGACACUGGAAGGUAAAUUGA